UACGAAGGGGGCGAGCGUUGUUCGGAAUCACUGGGCGUAAAGAGCGCGUAGGCGGUCCGGUAAGUCGGUUGUGAAAACUGGGGGCUCAACCCUCAGAGGCCGACCGAUACUGCCGGGCUAGAGUCCGGAAGAGGCGAGUGGAAUUCCUGGUGUAGCGGUGAAAUGCGCAGAUAUCAGGAGGAACACCAAUGGCGAAGGCAGCUCGCUGGGACGGUACUGACGCUGAGGCGCGAAAGCGUGGGGAGCAAACAGG
rnacentral:rRNA from 1 species